UAGGGCGAGUUUAGCUCGGCUCACACCCUGAAGUGACUGAUUGAGAGAGACAGAGUGACGCUCGGCUGCAUGAAUGGAGGCCGGGGUGGAUUUCAUGCCCCAUGGAGCCUGUGCUGCAGCAGAGAGGAAAGAAAUCACAUUCCACCAGAGACGCUGGUGAACUAUGGACAAUCUAAAGAGAUUAAGUGAAGGAGGAGUCGGGUACAGUACAACAUGCACAUGGGCUCCUCUGGGUGACACAGUCCUCGUGUUAUCUUAAUCUAAUUAAAAAAUCAUGUCGGACAGCUCAGGGCCACUCAGCCGGCUUCGCCUGUAAAAGGUUGAUUAUGAAAGAACACAACGCCUCACUCAGAUGUCCC